UGGGGAAUAUUGCACAAUGGCCGAAAGCCUGCUGCAGCGACGCCGCGUGAGGGAUGACGGCCUUCGGGUUGUAAACCUCUUUCAGCAGGGACGAAGCGCAAGUGACGGUACCUGCAGAAGAAGCACCGGCUAACUACGUGCCAGCAGCCGCGGUAAUACGUAGGGUGCAAGCGUUGUCCGGAAUUACUGGGCGUAAAGAGUUCGUAGGCGGUUUGUCGCGUCGUUUGUGAAAACCAGCAGCUCAGCUGCUGGCUUGCAGGCGAUACGUGCAGACUUGAGUACUGCAAGGGAGACUGGAAUUCCUGGUGUAGCGGUGAAAUGCGCAGAUAUCAGGAGGAACGCCAGUGGCGAAGGCGGGUCUCUGGGCAGUAACUGUCGCUGAGGAACGAAAGCGUGGGUAGCGAACAGG
rnacentral:rRNA from 1 species